rnacentral:rRNA from 1 species
AUACGGAGGAUCCGAGCGUUAUCCGGAUUUAUUGGGUUUAAAGGGUGCGCAGGCGGCCAUUUAAGUCAGCGGUUAAAUCGUGGGGCUCAACCCCAUUCUGCCGUUGAUACUGGGUGGCUUGAUUGCGGUCGAGGUUGGCGGAAUUCGUUGUGUAGCGGUGAAAUGCAUAGAUAUGACGAAGAACACCGAUUGCGUAGGCAGCUGACCAGACCGCAAAUGACGCUCAUGCACGAAAGUGCGGGGAUCGAACAGGAUUAGAUACCCUGGUAGUCCGCACAGUAAACGAUGAAUACUUGUUUUCGGCGAUAUAAUGUCGGAGGCAAAGCGAAAGCGAUCAGUAUUCCACCUGGGGAGUACGCCGGCAACGGUGAAACGCAAAGGAAUUGACGGG